rnacentral:lncRNA from 1 species
AUAUCUUAUUUUCCUUUUUACCACUGAUAAUAUGUCGUUGUUUACUUGUUCUCAUGUGUGUGAUAACUGUGAAAGAUUUAAGAAUAUGACAUAACUCCAGCAAUCCAAAACCUUGAGAAUUUUAGAUACUCUUAUUCCAGUAAAUCAGAGAAAGAAGGGUCUUUAUGCUAUGGAUAAGCCUCAUGGUGGAGUGGGAAAGAUAAAAUGCAACAAAACAAUGACUGACAAGACCAAGGAAAAAAGUAUUAAGUAAUCUAGUAAAGAACAUGAUCCUGGGCUUGACAUGUUCUAGUAACAGUUAAUGUGCUGGACUGUGAAUUUUUGGGUCCAAAAAAUCAUGCUCUGUACUUUGGGACUGAGGGUAUUUUAAGACCCGCGGCUGUGAAAAAUUUUUCUUUUUCUGGAAGAUAUUAACCAAAACAGUCAUAAGUGUACUCAUUAAACAAGGAAAAGUUUGAAACUUUUUAGUGCAUUGUUUUUUUACUCCUCUCUUUAUGAUAGUUUACCAAGGAUUCAUCUGAUUUUGCAGGAGGAGAAGAUAAAAAGAUUAAACAACAAACACAGAAGGCUCAUUUAGAAAUGUUAUAGAGAAGAUCAAAACAGGAAGAAAAAAUCAAAUAAAUUGAGUUUUGGUCUAAGAAAAGAUAUUGUCUUAUUGGAGGGGGAUCUGAGAAGUGGUACCAAGAUGAUUUUUGAGAAAAUAAAGGAAGUAUCUACUGGAGAUUGGUACCAUGAAAACUGUAGACUAAAAAACAAAGAUCUCCAACAUCAGAAAAGGC